UCAGGCUGCUACGCAGACCGGGGAUAAUUUAAACCAGAAAAAGUUCUCAAACAAUUAGAGAAGAAACAGCAAGUGGACAGCAGAGGUGGAAGAGCAGAAGGAUAAAGAGUCAAAUUCCAGGCAGAUCCACUUAAGUCAGAAGCUUGAUCCAAAUUCAUCUGAGAAGAAUAGUCAAGAUGAGAGUUAUCCAAAAGCUUCAUCUCCUUUGGAACAAGUAAAAACAGAUUCUCCAGUUCUUGCUGAGCAAAACCUGGCAGAAUGCUUACCGAGCG